UAUUUUAAAGAGAGUUUGAUCCUGGCUCAGGACGAACGCUGGCGGCGUGCCUAAUACAUGCAAGUCGAACGAACGGAGGAAGAGCUUGCUCUUCCAAAGUUAGUGGCGGACGGGGGAGUAACACGUGGGCAACCUGCCUGUAAGUUGGGGAUAACUCCGGGAAACCGGGGCUAAUACCGAAUGAUAAAGGGUGGCGCAUGCCACGCUUUUGAAAGAUGGUUUCGGCUAUCGCUUACAGAUGG
rnacentral:rRNA from 1 species